GAGAGGAAACUGUAGGGGGUUUU
rnacentral:piRNA from 1 species